rnacentral:rRNA from 1 species
AUCCGGUUCACUUUAACACUGAGGCGUGACGACGAGGCACUACGGUGCUGAAGCAACAAAUGCCCUGCUUCCAGGAAAAGCCUCUAAGCAUCAGGUAACAUCAAAUCGUACCCCAAACCGACACAGGUGGUCAGGUAGAGAAUACCAAGGCGCUUGAGAGAACUCGGGUGAAGGAACUAGGCAAAAUGGUGCCGUAACUUCGGGAGAAGGCACGCUGACACGUAGGUGAAGUGAUUUACUCAUGGAGCUGAAGUCAGUCGAAGAUACCAGCUGGCUGCAACUGUUUAUUAAAAACACAGCACUGUGCAAACACGAAAGUGGACGUAUACGGUGUGACGCCUGCCCGGUGCCGGAAGGUUAAUUGAUGGGGUCAGCGCAAGCGAAGCUCCUGAUCGAAGCCCCGGUAAACGGCGGCCGUAACUAUAACGGUCCUAAGGUAGCGAAAUUCCUUGUCGGGUAAGUUCCGACCUGCACGAAUGGCGUAAUGAUGGCCAGGCUGUCUCCACCCGAGACUCAGUGAAAUUGAACUCGCUGUGAAGAUGCAGUGUACCCGCGGCAAGACGGAAAGACCCCGUGAACCUUUACUAUAGCUUGACACUGAACAUUGAGCCUUGAUGUGUAGGAUAGGUGGGAGGCUUUGAAGCGUGGACGCCAGUCUGCGUGGAGCCGGCCUUGAAAUACCACCCUUUAAUGUUUGAUGUUCUAACGUGGACCCGUGAUCCGGGUUGCGGACAGUGUCUGGUGGGUAGUUUGACUGGGGCGGUCUCCUCCUAAAGAGUAACGGAGGAGCACGAAGGUUGGCUAAUCCUGGUCGGACAUCAGGAGGUUAGUGCAAUGGCAUAAGCCAGCUUGACUGCGAGCGUGACGGCGCGAGCAGGUGCGAAAGCAGGUCAUAGUGAUCCGGUGGUUCUGAAUGGAAGGGCCAUCGCUCAACGGAUAAAAGGUACUCCGGGGAUAACAGGCUGAUACCGCCCAAGAGUUCAUAUCGACGGCGGUGUUUGGCACCUCGAUGUCGGCUCAUCACAUCCUGGGGCUGAAGUAGGUCCCAAGGGUAUGGCUGUUCGCCAUUUAAAGUGGUACGCGAGCUGGGUUUAGAACGUCGUGAGACAGUUCGGUCCCUAUCUGCCGUGGGCGCUGGAGAACUGAGGGGGGCUGCUCCUAGUACGAGAGGACCGGAGUGGACGCAUCACUGGUGUUCGGGUUGUCAUGCCAAUGGCACUGCCCG